UACAGAGGGGGCAAGCGUUGUUCGGAAUUACUGGGCGUAAAGGGCGCUUAGGCGGCCUUCUAAGUCGAACGUGAAAUCCCCGGGCUCAACCCGGGAACUGCGUCCGAUACUGGGAGGCUUGAAUCCGGGAGAGGGAUGCAGAAUUCCAGGUGUAGCGGUGAAAUGCGUAGAUAUCUGGAGGAAUACCGGUGGCGAAGGCGGCAUCCUGGACCGGCAUUGACGCUGAGGAGCGAAAGCUAGGGGAGCAAACGGG
rnacentral:rRNA from 1 species